UUUUUUUCCUUCCUAAGGGCAUUUAAAAAUACUUCCCAGAGACACUUUUGUUAAAUUUACAACUUUGUCUAAUUAAAGUUUUCACUAGAAAGAAAUAUUUGUUUAGAUUAUUUCUGGAAUAUUAGUUCUGUACCAGGAGAUGUUUGGUUUUUUGCUACAAUAUAUAUGUUUAUAGUGAGCAGUUUUAGAAUGGGUAGACAAUUCUCCUAGGGAUUUUUGAGGGGCAUAUGAUUUGCAUUGAAAUGGCUUUGACAUGAAAGAAGUGCAUCUUUCCAACUGAUGUUCCUCAUAGAGCCAGCUUUGGAUAACUUCCUAAUUCAGGAAUGCAGACCACAGUGAGUCUUAUGCGCCUCUAAAUUUGACUUUAUUCUGUAAAAGCAAAAUACCUUUCAAAAUGAUUGUCCAGCUACCAACCUCUGUUGUCUUGUAGAAGAACCUGGGAACUACCCUGGCAUUAGAAGUUUCAAAGCAUUUCCUAAGAGAGUUAAUAACUGGAAUUCUAACUAAUCAGCCACAGAGCUUGGAAAGUUAAAAAUAUACAAACUCAAUCUUUCACAGGGAAUGAUUUUAAACCUAAUCACCUGGUGAUAAGAAUUUUAAUCUAUUCAAAGUCAACCACCAUCGAACUUUUAUCUUAAGCAAACAGAGAGUCUACCAGAUGUGGCUGAUAGAGUUGAAUGAUUUUGACUCUGCCUGUGGUCUGUUCAAAUUGUGAUUCCCUACAGUCUGUGAUUAUACAGCGGGAAAGAUUCAUUUUUCUAGUUUAAUCAGAUGAGACUAUAGCUUCUUAUGAUUAAACUCAUUUUAUACAAAAAAAAAAAAAAAACUCCUGACAUUUCUCCAAUUUGGAUUCUUACAUAAUACUAACAUGUACAUAUUCCUAUUUUCUUGAAAAUCUAGGAAAUUUAGCUAAUUCUGAAGGCACAAAAAGAAAAAACAAUCUUGAUCUCAAAAUAAAGACAGCCAGCAACAGUCAGCCUUGCAAUGAAGAAAUCUCCACAAAUGGCAAUAAUCAUUCAGUUUGUGUGAGGCACAGUCCCAAGGACCUGACAGGGAUUUAUGUAGUUAAUUCUCAGGACAACAGUAAAGUAGUUAUUAGCUGUGUUUUACAAAUGAGAAUGUGAAGUCCAAGGAGUCAAAUGACCUCCCAAGAUCAUGUGACUAAUAAAUUAGAGGCCUGUGUCUUAACCUUAGAAGAGCGGCUACAGGAUGAACAGUCUUGACCAGGAUCCUAGGGCUUCUCAUUGGUUAUCCACUCCUCAGUUUGAAUUCGCGAGAUGCCCCAUUUAGUUAGCCUCUGACCGAAACUCACCCUCCUACUCAGCAAGCCCAGAGAAAGAGGAGACACUAGGAACAAAAGAAAGACCACAGUCACUGCCCUUGAAAACACUCCUAGGAAUUCCUUAUGGGUCUUUAUCUGUGGAAUGCUUUUAUCAUGAUGUACCUGGUCUGCCUAGGUUACUUAUGGUAAAUUCAUUUAUAAUUAUGGGACAAGAUUUGCCAAAAAGGAAUAUUAGCAUCAGUAUGUAAUUUUCUGAUUGGAAAUGUCAAUAUCCCAUGACUGAACUAUCUCCUCUCGUGUAAGACAUGUUUAAUACAGUGGUGUUUAAUACCAUGUGCCUAUAGGCUUCACCUGCAUCUCACAGUCACCGGUAUCCUUUGAAUCACUGGUAAAUUUUGGCCCUGUGUAAGACGUGUGAUUUCUGUAAGUCUGAUUGGAGAGUCUG
rnacentral:lncRNA from 1 species